CGAGCGAACCGGGAAGAGC
rnacentral:snRNA from 1 species